rnacentral:rRNA from 1 species
GCUUGUCUCAAAGAUUAAGCCAUGCAUGUCUAAGUGUAAAUACGUCUACACUGUGAAACUGCGAAUGGCUCAUUAAAUCAGUUAUCGUUUAUUUGAUGAUCUCUUGUUACAUGGAUAACCGUGGUAAUUCUAGAGCUAAUACAUGCUAUUAGGCCCGACUCACGAAGGGUUGUAUUUAUUAGAUAUAAGCCAAUAUUCCUCGCGUCUAUAAGGUGACUCAUAAUAACUGAUCGAAUCCCUUUUUGGGAUAAAUCAUUCAAGUUUCUGCCCUAUCAGCUUUCGAUGGUUGUGUAUUGGACAACCACUGGCAAUAACGGGUAACGGAGAAUUAGGGUUCGGUUCCGGAGAGUUGGCCUUAAAAAUAGCCAACACAUCUAAGGAAGGCAGCAGG